AUUGAACGCUGGCGGCAUGCUUUACACAUGCAAGUCGAACGGCAGCACGGGCUUCGGCCUGGUGGCGAGUGGCGAACGGGUGAGUAAUAUAUCGGAACGUACCCAGAAGUGGGGGAUAACGUAGCGAAAGUUACGCUAAUACCGCAUACGAUCUAUGGAUGAAAGCCGGGGACCGCAAGGCCUUGUGCUCCUGGAGCGGCCGAUAUCUGAUUAGCUAGUUGGUGAGGUAAAGGCUCACCAAGGCGACGAUCAGUAGCUGGUCUGAGAGGACGACCAGCCACACUGGAACUGAGACACGGUCCAGACUCCUACGGGAGGCAGCAGUGGGGAAUUUUGGACAAUGGGCGCAAGCCUGAUCCAGCAAUGCCGCGUGAGUGAAGAAGGCCUUCGGGUUGUAAAGCUCUUUUGUCAUGGAAGAAACGGUAGAGGCUAAUAUCCUUUGCUAAUGACGGUACCUGAAGAAUAAGCACCGGCUAACUACGUG
rnacentral:rRNA from 1 species